GAGAGAGAGAGAGAGAGAGAGAGAGAGAGAGAGAGAGAGAGAGAGAGAGAGAGAGAGAGAGUGGGGAAGGAUAUAUCGAGUCAAAGCAGCUCUGCUUGCUCCUCAGUGUUGUGAGGGAAGAGACAGAGGACGUGUGAGAAGACAAGAUGGAGCGCUGGAACAGAUGAAGACUGUCACUGGUCCAAUCCGGCGGUCCACAUGAGCGUAUCGAAACCUCCUCCGCCCCACUCCCACUUCGCCCCCCCACCCAACUCUUCCACCUCCUCCCAUCUCUCCAUCCCUCCCUCCUCCUCCACCCCAUCCUCCCCCGCACCUUCUCGUGCUACCUCCUCUGCUCCCAGAUCUCUCCCUCCGCCCUCUCCCGUCAAGAUCUCCAUGCAGGAGCACUUUGCCAUCAACGUGUGCCCGGGGCCCAUAAUGCCUAUCCCGCAGAUCUCCGACUUCUUCCCGCGCUUCCACGACUUUCCCAUGACCCCUCCCCCGCCCCGGGAGAAGAAGAUCCUGAAGGAACCAGAUUUCGGAUUGAGCAAUGGAGGGGAGACGGACGGAGAGAAUAAGGAGAAGGAGAGGAAACCCAUCGAAGAGGACCGGGGGGAAAGGCAAGAAGGGGUGGAUUCGGACGACGAUGAUGAAACUUAUCUGGGCACCCUGGAGUUCACCCUGCUCUUCGAUCACGAGAACAACUGUCUACACUGUACAAUCCACAAGGCCAAGGGACUAAAGGCCAUGGACUCCAAUGGACUGGCCGAUCCAUACGUCAAGCUCCACCUCCUGCCUGGAGCAAGCAAGGCGAACAAGCUCCGCACCAAAACACUGAAGAACACUCUGAACCCGGUGUGGAGUGAGACACUGAUGUACCACGGCAUCACCGCUAUCGACAUGACCACCAAAACCCUCAGGCUGUGUGUGUGCGACAUGGACAGGCUCGGUCGUAACGAGUUUAUCGGAGAGGUCCGGGUCGCCUUGAAGAAACUGAGCAAGGGCGAGAGCAAAAGAUUCAAAAUGGGUCUGGAGAGAAUCACACAGAACAAAGACAUCAACAAAGAAACUGUGGAGCAAGGAACACCUGUAGCUGAGGAAGAGCGUGGUCGUAUCCUGGUGUCGCUCUGCUACAGCCCAGAAAAGAGCUGUUUACUGGUUGGCAUCGUACGCUGUGCCCACCUCGCCGCCAUGGACUCCAAUGGGUACUCUGACCCCUUCGUCAAGAUUGUGCUGCAGCCUGAUAUGGGGAAAAAGUCCAAGUACAAAACCACAGUGAAGAAGAAAACUCUCAAUCCUGAGUUUAAUGAGGAGUUUGUUUACGAAGUUCCACACGACCAGCUGGCAAAGAAAACCCUGGAGAUCUCUGUAUGGGACUACGAUCUGGGGAUGAGCAACGACUUCAUAGGUGGAGUUGAACUGGGCAUAAAUGCCAAGGGAGUGAGGCUGAAACAUUGGUUUGAGUGUCUCAAACACAUCGGCAAGAAAGUUGAGUACUGGCACACCCUCACGCAGCAAGGAGCCCCUCCGGAGCCCCCCCCGCAGUGACUGACUCACACACACUUUAUCGCAAUCAUUAAAUGAUAAUCAAUGAAUGGUGAAGAAAGAACAAAAUAAUAAAGUAACAAAGUAAUAAUAGUGAUAAAACAUGCAAUAAUGAGACGGAUAAUGAUGAUAUAAUAAUAACAAUAUUAAUUAUAAUACAAAUAAUAAUAGUGGGUAAUUAUCCCAAUUUAGAUUGUUUUCUAAGUAAGUACAUUUGUGAAAAUGUCCCUCAUUGAAAUGUUUAACGUGAAAGUGCUAACCAAUUUGACCUUGGCCCUCAAUAUUGUGACGUCACUUGCAUUUCAGCCAUUCAAAUGUACAUGAACAGUGUAUAACCUCUUACUUGCACUGUAAACUCCAAUACUGGAACAGUCUGUGAGCGCCUGUGGGCCCAUUGCCCAACAAGGUCUUGUUACGAACGUUGGAAUCGCCAGGUUGUUUCUACCAGGGAUGCAGUUGAAAAAGCAUGGAGCUGUGAAGAAAGACAGAACAAAAGAGACGAGACUCACUCCUACAGUACGAGACUCACUCCUACAGUACGAGACUGACUCCUAUGUUUCCUGGAUGUCCCCAUGGUCUAACAAACUGAUGUCCUGUCACAUGUGCAACAGUAUGGCUGGCAGUCCAGUGAGUCAAUUUUCCUUGGUGACAGUCACACAAGAUAACCCUCAGUCUGAAUUAUUCUCUGACCCCUGCUCUGUGCCCUUUGACCUUUGAAUUUUAGUUAAUUGAAAGCUAGAGAGCACAGAGAGAUUUCUGCGGCAGUCUCAAACAAACUAUAGCCCCCUACUCUAAAGAGGGGUUAUCAGAGGUUAUCAAAUACCAACUAUUGGGUGUGCAGGCUUUUGCUCCAGCUCCAGCCUAAUGCAGUCUGGACAACAAUAAGUGUCAUCGGGUGUGUUCAUGCUGGCCUGGAAUAAAAGCAUGAACAUCCCAGUAGCUCUCGAGGAGAGUUUCCUUCUAGUUCUCUGCGCCCUUACGGUAAGAUUAUAUUUAUAAAUGACUGGAUUUUUUUCAAUUUCGGUGAGUCUCUUGUAGACAUUCCAAUGUUCCAUCUUGGAGAAAAAAAAUAAGAAAAAAACGAUUUGUGUGAAAAAUAUGGCAAAAACUCCAUCUAUAGCCAAAGGAAUAGGUUCAUUUGACAUUUGAUCAAUGUCUAAGAUGGGGAAUUCAAGAAGUGUCUAGGUCUAGGAGUUUAGGUCUAGAAGUGUCUAGUUCUAGGUCUACAAGUGUCUAGGUCUAGGAGUUUAGGGAACUAUGCGAGAGAGACUACCCAGGCUGUUUUUAUGAGAGAGCCAUGGAGCUUAAAAGACUACCAUGGGUUGGUUGGACAACAGAGUUCCCGGGGAUGGACAACAGAGACCCCCCCCCCCCCUCCCGCCGCCUUGUGAUGGAUUUCCCAAGAGGAAAGAGAGAUUGGCUGUGAUGAAUUAUACUCAGCAUGGCAACAAUCCCUCCCAGAGGCUUGACCACUGGACUGUGUGGACAAUCAUGGACUAAAGUACCUGCAGGAUCAAAGGAUACCGACACAACGUUUGUGUGUGUGUGUGCAUGCUUGCAAGUGUGUGUGUGUGCGUUGUGUACAUGUCUGUGUGUGUGUGCGUGUUCAUGCAUUGAAUCUGAACACACUCAUGGACACCCCUCUCCCCCACCCUCCCUUGCAACAACAAAAAAAACACUGCCAUAACGUAGACAGUGACCUCUCACCAUGGAUUCCUUUACCAGAGACAGACCUCGAGGGGUUAACCACCCUAAGGACAGAGGCCCAAUCCUGUGGCCCCUGGCUACAGUUUGGACACCUUAUAGUUCCAACGUUGGUCCACUAAAGCACACUAUUACCCUGUUCACACUACUGAGCCAAACACAGCCAAGUCAAGCCAAGCUGUACUGCACUGGCCUGGUAACUCAUCUACUGUAGUUGCUUGAAUGAAAAAAGGACAAUGUGAAAAGAAAAUUACCCAGGCCAGCACAGUAUGGUUUGGGUCAGCCCGUGUAGUGUGAAUUAGACAUCUCAGUCAGUCAACAGUCACCUGGACUUUUUCUUACUUUCUAAUCGUUGUCUGGGAUCUCUGUGUUUGUAAAUCUGUACUUGGACAAAAGUGUGAAUGAGGGAAUCAUGACGGAUAGCAAAAAACAAAACAAAUAAAACCGAUUCAACAUGGCUCGAGGUCAAAUGUGACACGGAUCGUGGAUCAUCAAAGCUAGGGACUUAACUCUGAGACCACGUGUGAGAAGUUCAGCUCGUCUGGUCUUUUGCGGUCACCAAGAACACACGUUGAGGGACCUUGACAAAGAUGGUGGUGGAGUGGAGAGGGCGGAAUCUGUUCUUCUCUAUGCACACUAAUGACACAGAAAUCCUCUCCACGCGCAGCAACAACAGUGAAGUUGAUAAUCAAUUGAUAAACAUCUCCGAUGUCACUCCGUGAUAUGUUGUCAAAGAUGCAUUCAUGGGUUUUUUUGUACGCAAUACUGAGUAUGUAUACAAACGGGUGGGUCUAAUCCUGAAUGCUGAUUGGUUAAAACCGCAUCCCAGCCGGUGUCUAUUCCACAAGUUACUUAGUAUGUAUGUACUUCCCUCUCCGGGAUAUUCCUUAUCAUGUGAAGCCAGGCUUGGACUUGGAGAUAUUUCUUAUCUUGUCCAGGUGAUCUGAUUGGUUUAUUUUCACUCAGAUUCUCUCUAUCUCUUUUACUUGUUGUCGGUCAAGCCAACUUGACUUUGUUCAUCAUGUGACAAAAACAAACCAUAUGCAUCAUCACAUUCUAAUAAAGAAUUGCAUGUGUAACGAUUGUCAUAUAUAUGCACAUGUAACUAACAUUAAUCAAUGGCAAUUUCUUUAUGGUUGACAUCAUUGACAUGGUAUCAUCAAUCAAAUCUGUUUGAGCUAUCAUCGCUGAUGUGUACUCGUUGGUUUGUAAUUUUUGUUUGUAAAAAAAAAUAAUUCAGGGUAAGUUGCUCAAUUUGACGCUUUACUCGGUCCGCAGUUGCUUUAAAACCUUUAGCGUCGGGGAAUGGGGAGACAGGGCGGAGCGGGAGGACUAUUGUUACAGCAUCCCUGUGUACUCACUGACGUAAUGGCUAUCUCUAUGUGGAACAUACGGUGUGAUUGACAUCCUGUGGUGAG